rnacentral:rRNA from 1 species
AAGCGGUUACGACCAGACUUGGGCCCGGUUAAUCAUCCAGCGUUCUCGCUGGUGCACUUGGCCGGCCCAGGCCAGCAUCAGUUUGCUUCGGGGGAUAAAGGCUUCGGGAAUGUGGCUCCCUCGGGAGUGUUAUAGCCCGUUGUGUAAUACCCUGCGGCAGACUGAGGUACGCGCUCCGCAAGGAUGCUGGCGUAAUGGUCGUCACCGA